rnacentral:rRNA from 1 species
UACGUAGGGUGCAAGCGUUGUCCGGAAUUAUUGGGCGUAAAGAGCUCGUAGGCGGUCUGUCGCGUCUGCUGUGAAAACUCGGGGCUUAACUCCGGGUCUGCAUUCGAUACGGGCUGGCUAGAGUGUGGUAGGGGAGAUCGGAAUUCCUGGUGUAGCGGUGAAAUGCGCAGAUAUCAGGAGGAACACCGGUGGCGAAGGCGGAUCUCUGGGCCAUUACUGACGCUGAGGAGCGAAAGCGUGGGGAGCGAACAGG